GAUGAACGCUGGCGGCGUGCCUAAUACAUGCAAGUCGAGCGAACAGAUAAGGAGCUUGCUCCUUUGACGUUAGCGGCGGACGGGUGAGUAACACGUGGGUAACCUACCUAUAAGACUGGGAUAACUUCGGGAAACCGGAGCUAAUACCGGAUAACAUUUGGAACCGCAUGGUUCUAAAGUGAAAGAUGGUUUUGCUAUCACUUAUAGAUGGACCCGCGCCGUAUUGGCUAGUUGGUAAGGUAACGGCUUACCAAGGCGACGAUACGUAGCCGACCUGAGAGGGUGAUCGGCCACACUGGAACUGAGACACGGUCCAGACUCCUACGGGAGGCAGCAGUAGGGAAUCUUCCGCAAUGGGCGAAAGCCUGACGGAGCAACGCCGCGUGAGUGAUGAAGGGUUUCGGCUCGUAAAACUCUAUUAUUAGGGAAGAACAAACGUGUAAGUAACUGUGCACGUCUUGACGGUACCUAAUCAGAAAGCCACGGCUAACUACGUG
rnacentral:rRNA from 1 species